rnacentral:tRNA from 1 species
GUGGGUAUAGCUCAGUGGUAGAGCGCAUGCUUAGCAUGUACAAGGUCCUGGGUUCCAUCCCCCAGUACCUCUA